rnacentral:misc_RNA from 1 species
CACCAAUCCGAAAGGACAGCUCUUACAUAACAUAUAUAUAUCGAAAAUGAAAGUGAUCUGUGUGUUCCUAAUCACGGUGGCUUUAUGUCACGCCGCGCCUGGUACGAGUAACGACGAUGGAAAAAUUGAAAUAUUUUCAGGGGUUGCCAUCGAAAAGGAUGCGUCAGGUGAAGAUAAACUGAACGUAAAAUUUGAACCUGGAGAGUUGAAGGAAGCUGCAAGAACAUUUGAAGAAG